rnacentral:rRNA from 1 species
ACUCAAAUGAAUAGACGGGGCUCCGCACAAGCAGUGGAGCAUGUGGUUUAAUUCGAUGCUACGCGAAGAACCUUACCCACCCUUGACAUCCCGGUCGCAGGCCUAAGAGAUUAGGCUGUCAGUUCGGCUGGACCGGUGACAGGUGCUGCAUGGCCGUCGUCAGCUCGUGUCGUGAGAUGUUGGGUUAAGUCCCGCAACGAGCGCAACCCUUGUCGUGUGUUGUAUUUUUCACACGAGACUGCCCGGGCCAACCGGGAGGAAGGUGGGGAUGACGUCAGGUCAGCAUGGCCCUCACGGGUGGGGCAACACACGUGCUACAAUGGCUGGCACAAUGGGCAUCGCUAAGGCGCGAGCCGGAGCUAAUCCCAUCAAAACCAGUCUCAGUUCGGAUUGCAGGCUGCAACUCGCCUGCAUGAAGUUGGAAUUGCUAGUAACCGUGGGUCAGCAUACCACGGUGAAUACGUUCUCGGAGCUUGCACACACCGCCCGU